rnacentral:rRNA from 1 species
ACUCAAAUGAAUAGACGGGGGCCCGCACAAGCGGUGGAUCAUGUGGUUUAAUUCGAAGCAACGCGAAAAACCUUACCUGGGUUUGAAAUCCCACGAAGAUCGCAGAAAUGUGAUUGUGUCCUUCGGGAAACGUGGUGACAGGUGCUGCAUGGCUGUCGUCAGCUCGUGUUGUGAAAUGUUGGGUUAAGUCUCGCAACGAGCGCAACCCCUAUCCUUUGUUGCCAGCAUUAAGUUGGGCACUCUGAGGAGACUGCCGGUGUUAAGCCGGAGGAAGGUGGGGAUGACGUCAAGUCCUCAUGGCCCUUAUGUCCAGGGCUACACACGUGAUACAAUGGUAGAUACAAAGGGAAGCAAGCAUGUGAGUGCAAGCCAAUCUCAAAAAGUCUAUCUCAGUCCGGAUUGAAGUCUGCAACUCGACUUCAUGAAGUUGGAAUCGCUAGUAAUCGCGGAUCAGCACGCCGCGGUGAAUACGUUCCCGGGCCUUGCACACACCGCCCGU